ACCGGUCUUUGUCUCGGGGUAA
rnacentral:miRNA from 10 species